CCUACGGGGGGCUGCAGCGGGGAAUAUUGGACAAUGGGCGAAAGCCUGAUCCAGCCAUGCCGCGUCUGUGAAGAAGGCCUUCGGGUUGUAAAGCACUUUCAGUGGGGAAGAAAGCCUUGGGGCUAAUACCCUCGAGGAAGGACAUCACCCACAGAAGAAGCACCGGCUAACUCCGUGCCAGCAGCCGCGGUAAUACGGAGGGUGCGAGCGUUAAUCGGAAUUACUGGGCGUAAAGCGCGCGUAGGCGGUCUGAUAAGCCGGUUGUGAAAGCCCCGGGCUCAACCUGGGAACGGCAUCCGGAACUGUCAGGCUAGAGUGCAGGAGAGGAAGGUAGAAUUCCCGGUGUAGCGGUGAAAUGCGUAGAGAUCGGGAGGAAUACCAGUGGCGAAGGCGGCCUUCUGGACUGACACUGACGCUGAGGUGCGAAAGCGUGGGUAGCAAACAGGAUUAGAUACCCCGGUAGUC
rnacentral:rRNA from 1 species